GAACGCUAGCUACAGGCUUAACACAUGCAAGUCGAGGGGCAGCAUGGACAUUAGCUUGCUAUGUUUGAUGGCGACCGGCGCACGGGUGCGUAACACGUAUCCAAUCUGCCCGUUACUCGGGGAUAGCCUUCUGAAAGGAAGAUUAAUACCCGAUGGCAUGUAUUUCCGGCAUCGGAGAUACAUUAAAGAUUUAUCGGUAACGGAUGAGGAUGCGUACGAUUAGCUUGUUGGCGGGGUAACGGCCCACCAAGGCGACGAUCGUUAGGGGUUCUGAGAGGAAGGUCCCCCACACUGGAACUGAGACACGGUCCAGACUCCUACGGGAGGCAGCAGUGAGGAAUAUUGGUCAAUGGUCGGAAGACUGAACCAGCUAAGUAGCGUGAAGGAUGACUGCCCUACGGGUUGUAAACUUCUUUUGUUUGGGAAUAAAAGACGCUACGUGUAGCGUUCUGCAUGUACCUUACGAAUAAGCAUCGGCUAAUUCCGUG
rnacentral:rRNA from 1 species